GUCACAAUCCACUCAUGAUUUCGUGUAGACCAUGAAGCGAUUAUCUACCCUUUUCAAACAGAGGGGUGAAGCGUAUGCCAAUGCUGAUGUGAGAGUCUCUCUUGAAAACAUGGCGGCCAAACUUGGAUAUGAAGAUGUAUCCGACAUUUCUCCAACUGCAAUUGCCAUCGAGGCGCUUAUACAAAUCGAGCAUUUCUUGACGGAAUAAGCAAGAAGUUAUCAUCUUUGAAUGUUGUAUAUUAUUAUGUGAGGCAAAUGUUGUGUUGAUUUUUCAGCUGCUAGACAUGGCAUGAAUAAAUGGGGGAGACCUUUGGGCUCCAUCAAGUAGGGUUUUGCUCAUGUUUGUUGUAGUGAAUUUUAACUUGAUAUUGUUUUCCCUUUGUAAUUCUUAUUAACUUGUAUUUUCAUUAAAUUUUGCAGAAUUCUGAUCUCAAUAUGUCAGUAACUUUUCAUGCAAAUACUGCAACAGAAUAACUAUUCGCAGAAUA